CACACACAAAUAUAUAAGUUUUCAUUUUUUGGUUUAUCAGGUAACAGAAUCCCAAGGACAAAUGAAACUUUCUGAUGAUGCAAAACACUUUUACUCCAAGGAAACUAUUUUAAGGUUUUCCACAAAAUGCCAUGAAUUCCUGGUGUUCCCGUCCUCAAGGGUCCCUUUGUCUGGACUUCUGUGUCCUUCCUAGGAAAACUAGCAGCCACACAGGCCCUAACACUAGCUGACAGCCUGUGUCAUCACGCACUGGGUGAUGAGCAAGCCGCAUCGUCUGCUCCGACACAGUAGGAAGUCACCAGCUCUCAGCAGUGCCAUGUGGUUGGAGGUUUUCCUGAUUGUUCCACACGGAGAUGACUCUUCUUCCUGCUUCGGGAUUUUGUUUUAUGAAAAUCAAGAGUGUUAGCAUUCAGAAAAAGAGCUUCCCUUUUAAAUGAUACAUGCCCAAAUAAAACAUUCAAACAAUGUGGAAAAGCACACACAAGAAAGUGAGGUAUCAGACAGCCAGCAUCCAGAGGGCGUUAUCGCUUAACAGGCCACAGAAACUUGGGAAGAGAAGGUCUCUGUUCCCUUCAUAGUGGUCCCAUUUUGUUGGCUCAGUCUGCUGUCAGAAAUCAGCAAAAAUCACCGCUGCACACAAUGUUCAGCUGACGUGGACUUUGCCUCUUGCUCACGUGUAAGGCGCUGUACAGCUAUCGCCCACCUGUCCAGCCAAUAUUUACUGUGCCCCAUCUAUGCCGAGUCAGGCUGGCUGUGGAGCCAGCACGUCCCAGAGCCUCUGGCCCUCACCUGGAGCACCCCUAGUCUUGUUGCAGUGUCCUCGGGAAAGCCUUCUGCUGAACACCCUUCAGCCUGAGGCUGCUGGGCUGUCCUGACCAGGCCGGAUGCUGCCAGGCCAGCCCGGAGCCUGUCCAGUGGCACUGAUCUAGAGUGUUCCCUGGACUGGCGUCUGCUGACCUAGGACCCUUCCCUGGUGGGCUCCCUAUGCCUAGUCCACUCUUUCUUUCUGACCAUCUCCUGUUUUGGGAAGCCAGAUGUUACAUAAGACCUGCUGUGAAGAAGCUGGAACUUAGUUCUUCCAGCAAGUUUUGUUACUCACUCUAAGAUGUCACAUCAGUCAAACCCGUUCUAUGACCUCUGGACACCCAGAGCUCCAACGUCACCUCCUGGGGCUACUUUCCUGAGCUCCCUGCUCCAAACGUCAGCGCCAUCCAUCUGGAGCCCCCGCCUUUAUGUAUUCUUGUUCAUAGCAUUUACCUACUUGACUCCUUACCCACGUCUGAUUGCGUGCUGGCUGUACCCCACUAGAAGGCCCCAGCCCUGUGCAAGGCGGGGGCGGGUGGUGAGGGAGGGGCCCGGUUUGUUCAUCCUGCAUCCCUCGCACGUCACAGUAGGCACUCGAUCAACGUACUCUGAAUGAAUGAGUGCAUGGAUGAGUGCAUCGUUCCAGACGGGCUCCUCCCUGUGACACUCUGCUUAGGCUGACCCAGAGCCCCUGAGACGCCCCGUGGAGAGGGAGGCCAGGGCUGCGCUGUUUCCUGUGCAAUCUGACCCUGAGGACACCCCUCGGCUUUAGCUGACAACGUUAGGUCAUUUGGCUCAUGCCAUAACGGCUCAUGCCUCCCAGUCUAAUGAUUUUUUAAGUACGCUUUUGGAUUUUCCUUUCAAAUAAACUAUCUCACCAGCUCCUGGUGACAAGUUGAACACCUCGGAGAUCACAGCACUGAGUCCUGGGGGUCAAAAGAAAUCAUUCAAAGCUGAGAAAAUCAAGUAGUAUUAAAAGGACAGAAGCUAACCCAGAGAAUUUUUUAAAUAACAUGAUAAACUAAAAUUGGGUAAUGGAGGGAGGUAGAGAAAGUGGCGGUGCUUCGGGUGGAGUAGUAAGUUCUGCCUAAUCUGAGCUACGUUACCCCGCAGAGCAGUAGUGUUACGAGGGCAACGGCAAGAUGAGCCAGAACCGAAAUAAUCAGCAGCAGCACAUGCACCCAAGAUGAAGAACACACAAACUAUAAACCAGGCAGUAAAAGAGAAAACAUGUAGAAAAUAGGACAGAAGUAAGACCAAGUAGCUCCAAAAUUUGACAGGGCUGAACUGAGCAUUUAAAUAUAAAACACAAACCCGCUAAAAGUUAAACCAUGAAACAUCUAGAAGGAAACAUAGGAGUUAGAAAAAGGAGUAAUUUUGGAGUGCAGAUUAGAAGUGUGAGUAAACGUUAAGACACCAUAAAACAAAAGAUUAAUAUGCUGACCGUAUACAGAUAGAUAGAAGAAAUCUGUAGGUCAAAAAAGGAAAAGAUGAAUAAAAUUUAAAAAGGAGGACCAAGCAUGAAAUAUACUUGCACCACACAUCAGAAUCAAAGCAGAUGGUGUCUUCACUUCCUGUUGCAUUACUGCACAUUAAUGACGAAAAGACCAACCACUCCACAGCAGGACCGGCAGGGGAGGUAGAGACGGAAACAGAAAUAACUGCCUCUCGUACACAAGGAAAGUCAAGAGAAAUGUAAUCAAAACUACACUGAGAUGCUCCUUCCCCACAUCGUAGUCAGGACACACUAGAAAGCAUGCAGAUGUCUCGCUGCCCUAGAGAUCCCUCUAGGUGCCCAACUCGCUCUCUUGACCUGGGGAGAAUGCUGCGCAUCUGUCUCAGCUGUCUGGCGCUGAUUGCUUAAGAAAACUAGAUGGGCACACCGCAGCCUUGAGGGGAGCCAGGUGAUGAUUUUUGGCUACUACAAAAAGAAAUAUGGAUCCAGUUCGACCUCAGAUGCAGGGUGAGGUGAGAAUGCCUGAGCAGAGAUCCUGGCGUGUGAACUGGGACGUGUAAUGAAUGAGACAGAAGGCUGUUGUCCCUCAGCCCCCAGCAGCUGUCCUGCCAGGAGCUGCCCCCAGGGGACUCAGGGCCCACCACACAGCAACUUACCUGCUUACACCAAGUGCGCAGCGUCAUGACAAAGGGAAACCUCUCCCAAAAGACAGAGCGGGGAAAGAAUCGUCCAGCCUGUCUCGCCUUCCUGUAGAAGGAACAACAGUGGGACAGCGUUUACACUUAUCUGAACGUUGGUUCCUGGUGUUCAGGGCUCUCCACAGGUCUCAACCUCCCUGCCAUCCCCUCAGGCAUUCCCUUCGUUCGUCCUCUAUUCUCACUCCACAUUGGGAAUAUCUCCUCUCCUUCUCCUAGAAACAGGCCCAGGCUCUGCACAGUGUCCUUCCCACUCCUGAAAUAUGCUCAGGCUUUCCUUGGAAUCUUGGCAGGCCAGGGCCCAAGCACAUCCUGCCCAACUUCCUGUGCGUAGGUUUGCACUGCUCCCUCUCUGCUGGCAGCUGACGUGCUGCCGGUUCCACCUGGGAACGGGAUGGACGACUUCUGAGCAGGGUCAGCCCUCCCUGAGGUGCACUGUCAAAUGUCGAGGGAGCCAGGGUGCCUCUCUUCUCAGGAAGAUGCUCGUGCUUGCCCCGUGGCCCCUCGACAGCACCACAUCCUGAGAGGAGAAAAGUGAAGGCUUAGCGGGUGGGAUCACGCUGCCCACGAUCUUGGCCCGGGUCCCUUCAGUGCUUCCUGGUUGUCUCCUCGUCAGCACAGAUGGAGAAAAUAACAAGACGACCAACAGGCUGAGCUGGACAGAGACCUUUCCUUUCAGCAUCCUGUGAGCCAGCCAGAGAAGAUUAGCCCUGAGCUAACAUCUGCCACCAAGCCUCCUCUUUUUGCUGAGGAAGACUGGCCCUGAGCUAGCAUCUGUGCCUAUCUUCCUCUACUGUAUAUGUGGGACGUCUGCCACAGCACGGCUUGACAAGUGGUGCACAGGUCUGCACCUGGGAUCCGAACUGGCAAAGUCCAGGCUGCUGAAGCAGAGUGCGCUAACCCUACUGCUACGCCACCAGGCCAGCCCAGUAUUUUAUUCUUUUUGAUGCUAUUGUGAAUGGAAUUAUUAUUUUAAUUUCCUUUUUGGAUCCUUCAUUGUUAAUGUAUGCUGCGUGGGCUUCCACCCUGAUGGGCAUGGAGAGCAUGAUCCAGCUGUGUCCAUAAGAUCUUAGAACACCUGUACAGCUGGAAGAGCCCUGGCCAGCCUUGGUUGACAAGGACUCAGACUUUUCCAGGAAAUGGACUGGUGCCCAGAGAGGUCAACUGCUCACAGCGUCUGCCUAGUAACCAGAUCCACAAGAGCCAAGCUUGGCUCCAGUCCUCUCUCCUGGCCCUGCCACACGCUCCCAGCAUCUAUUUCUUACAACUAAUGGUGCUGAAAACUUAAUAUCCACACCUGCUGAUGCCUGUUGACAUGCGAAGUGAAUCUGCACCAGAUCAGUGAUGCUUGUAGAACACGGACACAAUAAAUGGAUUCUGAUGCUCCCUAAAUGCCAGCCAAUCUCUUUCAGACCUCAGCAGGAAUACAUUGAAUUGAUAAACAGACUCUAAAUAAACCUCACCGGAAAUCACAAUGUGGCCCCUUAGAAAAGAGCCAAACCCCCUCCAUCCACAAUGACGAUGUGGGUCAGGAACCAAACUGCACACAACCCUCAUCCUGGGCUCUGAGGGUGACGCGUUUGCUGCCAUGGAAAGUGUUUGGGCUCCUCGCUCCACCUGUAUCCUCAGAGGCCUUAUCUCCAGGGCAAAGGCAGCCUUUCUGGAGGUGGAGACCCACCAUCUGUUGUCAGUGCUCUCUUCUUCCCUGGCCUCUGAACUCUGCAGCCCCAAACGGAAGCCCUGAAAGCAGGCUGUGUGUGGUUGCAGCCUGGUGAGCCCCUGCCCUGAGGGCCCUUAUCUGCAGCCACACUUCUGGAGCCAGGCCAGUGACCUUGCUCCACCGAUGAACUUCCCCACUGACUUCUCAAUUCCUGGAAUUGUUCAGAAAAUCCCGUUGGAAAUCCAAGGACGGCUGGGUCUCUCAGUGCUGCUGCUUGUGCACAGAGAAAGGAAGAGCUAUGGCCUGACUGUGGGGCUCUGGGGUCUGGGAAUCCCACACUUUCAGGGGCUUGUGGGGAGGGGGCUUAGAUUCUGUCUCCUUCUGCUGGUCGUGGUUCCUGGAAUGUGGAAGCAAGCCUAGAUCCUAUAGAAGCUUCUCAAGUUCUUGGCCCCCCGCCCUCUAAAGGGAAACCUUUAGGAUAAAAAACAAUUCACCUCAUUAGAAAGCACCCCUCUUUUAAUAUGAAACACAGAAAUGAAGAAGACAGAAAGGAAAGAUGAAAGAAAUAUGAAAAGGCAGCACCUUUCCAGCUCUCAUUAUGUGUCUGACACUGCGCAAAGGACUUGAUCAACACAGACCUCAUUUCGUUCUUAUAAUAACCUAGGAGACAACCAUCACUGUCACUCCCAUUUUACAGAUGCGGAACUAAAGUGCGGGGCAGCUGCAUAUCCAGAACAGCCCUUUCAAGGCCCGUGUUCAAACAUCGUUAAGAAUUUCAAGAUGGCGACAGUGGAGCAUUAAACACAGCAUGGGCCCUUCUGGGCGCGGGCCACGUGACUCGUCUCAGCGAGCAGAGGAGGCAGCCUCUGGAGCCCCCCAGUACAUAGUUACACGUUCUAGUUGUGAGUGCCUCUGGUUGUGCUAUAUGGGACGCCUCAACACGACCUGAUGAGCCGUGCCACGUCUGCGCCCAGGAUCCGAACCGGCAAAACCCUGGGCCGCCGAAGCGGAGUGCGCAAACCUAACCACUCGGCCUCUGGGCUGGCCCCAUAAAUGCUGUCUUUGAGGCAAGUGCGAAUGGGGACGAGAGGGUGAGCUCUGGCCUUAGCCCUGCAUCCCUGGGUCUGAGAUCUGGUUCACCAACGCCCUCCUCUGGGGACCGUACAGCCCCCUGAAGACUAAGUGGGUGGAUUGCAUCUCAGACUAGACUCAGGUGCAGGACACUCAUGACGUGUGAGCUCUGUGCCAGUUCACUGGGACCAUGUUCUAGGCAGAAUCAAUCCAUGCUGAGGCCAACUUGAUAUCCAGGCUGUUUUUCUUGGGUGUAGGGAAAAGAUAAGAACCAGGAAAUUAAAUAGUGCAUGAUCCACACAACCAGAAAACAAACAGUAAUGGCUCUGACUAUACAAUGACAAGAGGUGGGGCCUUCCCAGACACAGGGAGGGGCCGUGGUGAUGGGUCUGCGGCCGCCUCACAGGGCAGUCAUCAUUGGAAGCUUCUGUGAGCCUGAGAGACCUGACCAGUCGCUUCACUCACUGGAGGGGCUACUUUCGGUCAGAUUAUCAGAAGGUUCUUGAGGUUCAGGUCAACUUAAGCUAGCGGAUGCCAUGUCAGUCUGAUGAAUAUGACAGCUGCCCACCGCAGGAAACAUGGGCAGUGUUUGUGUGGCUGAAUCUUUCAAUUAUGGUUGAAAUAAAGACUGGUUUGUGGACAAAUACGAAAUUGGGCUAUUCUCCAGGGCACUUUAGGAAUGCUUAAAAGAGGUAACUGAUGCCCCCAAAGCACAAACACUGGAUGCUGGCUUCUCCAUGCUUCUCAGGAUGCCAAACAUCUGGAUUAAGACUCGAUUAAGACUCUGGUUUAAGACACCAGAGCACUGGCAGACAGCUUCAUUACCCACAGUGAGCCGUGUGCAGGUCACAUGGGGCACUCAACAGUGAUUGGUUGAUGGAAUUGACAGCAUGACCUGUGAAGUCCAAUGUUCCCCCAAGAUGCAUUUCUAGAGCACCAGUGUCCUACAGGACUUUAAUAAAUGUUACUCAGAGAAAAAGCUUCCAUGGUCCGUUGAGUUUGGAAAACACUAAAGUAAACAGUUUUCUUUCUUUAGGAUUUACUGGUGCCUUUAAUUUGCUAACAGGUGCUUACUUACCCAGAGGGGGUAAGUAUGAAGCUAUACACAGAUUUAUUAGACAAAACGCUCAAACCUCUUUUCUUUUUUAAAAAACGUUUCUGGAACAUUUAUUGACUUGUGGAAAAUACAUGAUCCAAGGAGAAGAGCUGGCCCAGUGCUGCUGGAGAAAGCUCAGUCUCCCCGCUCCACACUUGGCUGCACUGAUUUGAGGUCUCAUUCAUUCUGCUGCAUUCGAAUCCUUGUCAGGGACAUGGAGUACCAGGAAAUUUUGUCAGAGUUUACAUAUUUGACUUCUCUAAGGCCUUUGCAUCCUGUUCAGAAACCUCAAGCCCGGGCUGCAUCUUUCCAGGCCUAUGAGUGAGAAGCCUGGAAUGGUAGGCCACAUGAAGAUGGCCGUCUGGAUUUUGCCCUCAGCUUUUCCAUUCUGAGGCUUUGGGGAAAGCAUGUCACAGGAAGCCAAAAACACUGGAUAAGAAAAAGGAAGCGUUGGGAUGUGAUAAGUGUAGUGUAGGUUUUGGCCAACACUUUUGCCUUCCUAGUUCUUUUACGUGGGCUGACGAUAACGUUUGUUCCACUCCCACGCGCGUGCUAGCUGGAUGGCCUCGCUCCCUGAUGGCAGAGGUGGGUCCUACAUCUGCACCCUCUUCCCUGAAGGGGGAGCUGACAUACAGAGGAGCUGUCUUGGGUUGGGACCCUAUAACCUGCACCUGAGAUGAGUUUGCUGGCGAGAGAUCUCAGGAAGUGUCAGCUAGGAAGUGAGGGAUGAGACGGGUUGAAAGGAGCUCAGACAGCAUGCUUCUGUGAGCAGAGCAUCACGGGCUUUGUCCUGCUGGGCCACCCACUGCCAAGAGUGAGAAGGAGCCCUCAUCUCUCUGGCUCAGACCUGCUCCCAGGGAUGUUAGCUCCUUGGCUCUUUAGCCAGAGAAGGCCCUGGGGAGAUGCAGAGGCUGGCCCUUGGCUGCCCAGUGUUGUCAGGGUGCAGAGUGCCCAGGAACUGUGGCUGGGGCCGGAGGUGACACGCCUCUCCAGCAUUUUUAGUUCAGAGCUUCUUGGUCAUGGAUCACUCUGCGACGCAUCUUCUUUGGGUGACGUAAUGGCAUGGACCUUGUCUCACAGGGUGACUGGCGGGCAUGGCACUCGGCCUCCAGGGAGGACUACCCUCUGGAAAUUCUCUGCUCCUCCCGCUUCUCCUUCCUUUGCCCCUACCCCCACCUUUCAAGCCCACCUCUGCCCUUCGAGGUGACACUCAAGUCCCAUUUACCUCAGGGAUGCCUCCCAGACAGCGCUGGGCACCUGGACCAGAGAUGGCCCUCCAUGGACCCUGGAUACGCAUUUGUGGGGUCCUCUCCCUGAAUCCCGACUCUAACGUCUGUGCUAUGGGGGGUCUCCAGUGCUCAUUCUGUACCUCACUCCCAGGGCAGCACCCAGCACACAGGGGUCUCCUACUGGGAGGUGUCAGUUAGGCGAGGACAUCAUGCAGGUGGUCCACACCCUUAGCUUGGGGAUUUUUACCCGUCACCACCAGGGAAAGGGCAGCCACCCCAACAUUGCCGGCGAGCCCUACCCUCCCUCUCCAAGUGACAGAGAUGGCUGGCCACAUGGUGGAGGGUUCACAGGUGGGGUCCAUGUGGAUUCCCAAGUCUCUGGACUCUACCGCUUGUCCCAUAAGUAUUUAUUGCCCAGUGCCAGUUCAGAGUUCAGAUGCUAGGGUUUGAAUGGUGCUAGUUCACUACGUGACCUUGUGUAAGUCACUCAGUGUCUGUGUGCCUCACUUACCCCAUCUGUACAGUGGGUGUGACAAGAGAACCUUCCUCAGAGGUUUCUGUGAGGACUGGAGGAGAUAUGUAAGGAGCCCAGCACGUGCCUGGUGCAGAGGAAGACCUGCUGAGCUCUGGGCCACCGCUAUCGCUCCUGCAACUCCUGCCGGCGCGGGCCUCUUACGGGGUAGCAAGGUGACCCAGGCCUGGUCUUUCCGUGCCUUGAGCACAGACGGUUUUUUUUUUCUUAUCAACUUUAUUUAGGAAUAAUUUAUGGGCAAUAAACUGCGUCCAUUUAAAAUGAACAGUUAGGGAAUUUUGACGGUUUUAUGCACGCAUAGAACCACAACCACAGUCAAGAUACUGAACAUUUCUGUCACCUCCAAAAGAUUCCUGUGCCCCUUUGCAGACCCGUCUGGUGCCUGGACCCAGGGGACCACUGACCAGCUUCUAGUCAUUGGAGAUUAGUUUUCUUUCUAUGUAAAUGGAAUCGCACGUGUACUCUUGUGUCGGACUCCUUUUGCUCUGUAUAAUGGCUUUGAGAGUCACAUGCUGUCAUGUGUGUCAGUGGUGCUAUGGUCUGAGUGCGUCCCCUCGAGUUCGUGUGUUGCACCCUAACUCCCAGGAUGGUGUGGGGCGCCCUGCCUUCAGGAGCCCUUAGGCCACAAAGGUGGAGCCCUGCUAGCGCUUCCUAAGAGAGCUGCCACAGAGACCCCUGGCCUCCUCCACUGUCACCUGGGACUCAGAAGCGCGCCUUGCCGGGCCCCACCUGCACUCUGGUCUCUGACCCGCAGCCUCCAGGACUGAGAAAUAAAUUUCUGUUGUUCUUAAGCCAGUCUGUGGUAUUCUGUUAGUAGCCAGAACGGACUAAAGUUUGUUGAAGACAAGUAGUUUGUUCCUUUUAACUCCUGAAUGCAAAUUGCAAU
ensembl:lncRNA